AAAUUAUAUUUUAAAUAUCUACGAUUUCCAUAAUCGACCACUACAGUGCAGAAUAGUCCCCCAACGCAAACGGCGCGCGGCGCUCACCCGGUGACCCGGGCAAGCGCUGCGCCCCCCGUCCCGCGCCCCACUACCCGCGCUCGCCCAUGAGUCAGUCAACUAUCAGCCACAAUCAGCUGUGAGUUCAACGACGACUACUGGACGGAGCUUAAUCCAAAUCUACCCUAAAAAUGUAAUGAGUAAAUUAGUUAAUUACACCUUAUCACGUUACGAGUUUAUUUUUUGUUCUAAAAACUAAUUAAUUAAGUAGGUCUUUAAUAAAAAAACCUUUUACACGAAUUUGCUUCCUUCCGCAAAAUAAAAAUUUUUACAGAAGCUACAUUUUUUUUAAAAUUAAACCAUGCUUUUAUGUGUGUGAUAAGCUUGUACCUACUUAUCAUUCAAAAGUACUGUAAACAGAUGACAAUAAUGCUCUUUCAUACAGGUUCGUUAUUCCUUACAUUUCUAGCUCUCUACCUUAAUAACUUUUACGUCUUUACGAUAGUAAUUAUUAAAAUAAAACUUAACUUACCGCAAACUGAACACCUAGAAAUAACACACUGGCAAACUCUUGUUCCUUCACUUUCGAUAGGAGAUAAGACAAGAUUUUGUUUUUAAACUCGAUUGAUUUCAGUAUCUAAACAAAAUUUCUAUCAUUUAGCACUUCUUUCAUUUAAAUACAAUAAUAUCGGCGCCGCACGGAUAUCGGGCUCGCACUGACAAUACAUACUUCGCUCAUCUUCGUGUUUCGGGCGUCAUCGGCGCUCAAUCGUGGAUCAUCGAUUUUCUCCAUUCAUCAGUCCGAUUUUGCUUCCCACGUUGAGAGGCUGCGCGCACGCUCCGCGAAAUCUAGCUCGUAUUUAGAAUUCCUAGACGGAUCUUUAGUUAACAAAGAUCUUCGGUCAUCGAAUGUGCAAAUUUGCGAUUUUUGAUUGUUUUCUCGUGCGGUUUUGAGUAGUUAGUGUGUGAACGUGUGAUAGUGAGUGUGGUAAUAGUGAGUGAGUGUUAGGAAUAUGCCUAACCAUACGUACAGUGCUCGUGAGUAGAUACGUAAACAUGGUUUACUGUUACGGGAGGGCACGUGGAAACGCAUCUGAAGUCGCAUCGGUAAGUACCUAACUCUAAACUUAAAGGACAUUCCUUUUUAAUGUAGGAAGUGAAUCUGGUAAUUUUGUGUAGAAAAUACUCCCGCCGUCGCGGUAGGUAGUGGCGGAAAGCGCUCCAAUACACUCACACACACAUAGGAAACAGCAAACUAAUUUAAAACGAACUUUAACU